GGAAGUUCUGGGGUGGCAUACCCUGGAAUCAGGCUCCCUUCUCUCUGGUUCCAGGUGCAUCACCCGAGAACCACC
rfam:Myotis davidii contig226678, whole genome shotgun sequence.